CGGCUGUAGCAAAAUCAACAAGGUUUGCAGAAGCAAACUGGCCGGCUGUUGUUUCUAACUCAUCAACAUCCCGCUUACCGAACUUCUGACAUUA